rfam:Torrubiella hemipterigena genome assembly, contig: SCAF5
GGUCUCGUGGCCAAAUGGCAAGGCGUCUGACUACGAAUCAGAAGAUUGUGGGUUCGAUCCCCACCGAGACCU